CAUGUUUCAUCAUGCUGUGCGGUCCUGGACCUGCUUGGUUUCAAAACAGAACUAACACUGUUUACAGUUGCGAGCGAGUAUUUGUUGAAGUGUCAGCCUGGACGAAACUUGUCUGACACUAUUUACUUAUUAAUUUGAGUCAUCAGUGCAGAUCUGCAACAGUGUGUUUCAAGCUUGUUGCAGCAGACAGGACUGUAGGCCAUUCAGGUGCAACAGGUGUGUGAGCAGGUAGCUGACAAGCCGAGGUAAAAGUGAACAGGACGAUAUGCAUUAUGAUCAGCAGAGUGUGUCGCCUUUGCUGCUGCAGCUUAUGAGGCCUACAUGUUAACCUACACAAGAAAAGCAACGAGAAAUCCUCACUCAGGUGGAGAGCAAAUCAUCCUCACAGGGGAGGAUAUUUCAGCACUUUUUCAGCACUGCAGAAAGCUUGGACCUGCGGCCUACAGGAACUGCAGGUCAGACGGGGUGACUGAGGGGCCUCCCGUCCAGCCCGUCUAGAGAGGAGAAUCAUCUAAACACUGAACUCUGAUGACCUACCUGCUAUAGAAUACACAAAGAAUAUGCUCACAUACAACAUUGCCGGGAUGCAUUGCUGGGACAGGCUCCAGCCCACGGGGACCCUGAUUAAGAAUGAGCAGCUAAGGGAAAUGAAUCAACAGUAUAUCCAGGGAAGUUUCCCCGUUCAUGGAAGGGCGUCUUCCGCCUUAAACUGUGUGCCGUUCUCAUUUCUAAAUGUUGGUUACAGUCACUCUCCUGAGAUUUGUGACUCUGUUGUGCCCGCUGCCUCCCAGUUCUGCUAAAAAUAAAGAAAUCCAUUGUCUGUAAACAACUUGGGUGAUUUACAGCAGCAUCCCACCCCUCAAUGGAAGAUAGAAACUCUGUACAAUAAAGCAUACUCCAGUCCCCAGAAGGCAGACCCUGCAGAAGUGUGUGUGUGUGUGUGUGUGUG